UCCUAUAAAUAUACCCACAACUCUCUUUCUCAAACCACACACAAACUCCCAAAUCACACCUUAUCUCAAAUCACAUUCCUCAGCAAAAUCCUAUUCAAAUUAUAUAUAUUUGAAAAAAAUAGGAAAAGGAGAAGAUAUUAGAAUUAAUGUGGGCGAGACUUACGUAUUAUAAUUGCUGGAAGUCUUGCCACAUGUUAAUCUGGUAUUUCUCUCAUUUUACUUUUUUUCUUGUUUUUACACUACGAGAUAUUUACGACGAUUUGUACUUACGUGGAAUUAACGGGUUUUAUGUUUAAAUCCUUUUACGUGGUGUUUACGACGAUUUCUGCUUACG
rnacentral:lncRNA from 1 species